GCUAACAAUAAUCUUUAGGGAGAAGCAACCUUACUAUGAAAAUGACUGCCCAAACUCAAAUGUCUCUAAGAUUUUCUUUAACUAAGAAAUAAUUCUAUUUUUUUAAAAUGGAAGUAUGGUCAGAAGUCAAGAAAUUGGAUCAAUAGGCUAUCAGAUGAGAUGUAACUACAGAGGUCAUUUUUUUUAAAGCCUGAAGAGUCACAAGUUGAGAAGCCCACUCUGAGAGUUACUGCCUAGAUGUAGUCACUAAGUCCACAGUUAAGAAACAAAGCAUGGCUGCCCCCAGGAGAUUAUCUCUUCCAGUUCACUUGGGGAAGGUGCCUGAGGACACAUCCCUUCCAUCUUAUGGCAGAAGAUACCCACAUCUAAGAAUCCAAAUCCAAUGAGUAAUCAUCCUGAUCUUGUCAUCUCUAAAAUACUGAAUAGGAUUUUCUAUUCAACAUCUUCAGCACAAGGGUCAAGUCCCAGGCUUGACUAGCUAGAAGUGAGCCGAACCAAGCACAAAGCACUAUCAAUGGUUAAAAAGAAAUAACCAGACGCAGAGGGAGCCGCGCUCCCAUCACCUUGUUUCCAUCCCUUUAAGACAUCUCUUGAAGAGUCUUUCUUCAAACAAAAUUGGAGUGGUAGACCGUUUCAGUGCCGCUGUACAGAGAUUUGAUUGUUAUGAUUUUGCCUAUAUAACUUCUUACAUAUCAUAUGAAUGAGCUCGCACAAGCUUCUGGAUUUUGUAGAGGAGUUAUGGCAAGCCUUCUUAUUUUUGGUCUUAGCUGCUUGCAAGCAGCCCCACAAACUCUGGCAAUCAGGUGUUUUAGUCACUGAAAAUUAGGAAGUUCUCUAACAAAGAGAUGACCAUAUGCUGCUGACACAGAUGCCUGGAAAUUCCCCCCCACAAAGCACCAGGAUCUUCUUUCAAACUAACGAAAGUAUCAAUUAACUGUACUGGAAAUUAUUUUACCUAUGUAAAAAUGUGCUACUUUUGUUUAUGCUGUGGAAUAGUACUUUAAUUGUAUAAAAGUGUGUUACAUUUGUU